rnacentral:rRNA from 1 species
GACGAACGCUGGCGGCGUGCUUAACACAUGCAAGUCGAACGGAAAGGCCCUUCGGGGUACUCGAGUGGCGAACGGGUGAGUAACACGUGGGUGAUCUGCCCUGCACUUUGGGAUAAGCCUGGGAAACUGGGUCUAAUACCGAAUAGGACCACGCGCUUCAUGGUGUGUGGUGGAAAGCUUUUGCGGUGUGGGAUGGGCCCGCGGCCUAUCAGCUUGUUGGUGGGGUAAUGGCCUACCAAGGCGACGACGGGUAGCCGGCCUGAGAGGGUGACCGGUCACACUGGGACUGAGAUACGGCCCAGACUCCUACGGGAGGCAGCAGUGGGGAAUAUUGCACAAUGGGCGCAAGCCUGAUGCAGCAACGCCGCGUGAGGGAUGACGGCCUUCGGGUUGUAAACCUCUUUCAAUAGGGACGAAGCGCAAGUGACGGUACCUAUAGAAGAAGCACCGGCCAACUACGUG